rnacentral:rRNA from 1 species
UGGGGAAUUUUGGACAAUGGGCGAAAGCCUGAUCCAGCAAUGCCGCGUGUGUGAAGAAGGCCUUCGGGUUGUAAAGCACUUUUGUCCGGAAAGAAAUCCUUGGCUCUAAUACAGUCGGGGGAUGACGGUACCGGAAGAAUAAGCACCGGCUAACUACGUGCCGGCAGCCGCGGUAAUACGUAGGGUGCAAGCGUUAAUCGGAAUUACUGGGCGUAAAGCGUGCGCAGGCGGUUUGCUAAGACCGAUGUGAAAUCCCCGGGCUCAACCUGGGAACUGCAUUGGUGACUGGCAGGCUAGAGUAUGGCAGAGGGGGGUAGAAUUCCACGUGUAGCAGUGAAAUGCGUAGAGAUGUGGAGGAAUACCGAUGGCGAAGGCAGCCCCCUGGGCCAAUACUGACGCUCAUGCACGAAAGCGUGGGGGAGCAAACAGGAUUAGAUACCCCUGGUAGUCCACGCCCUAAACGAUGUCAACUAGUUGUUGGGGAUUCAUUUCCUUAGUAACGUAGCUAACGCGUGAAGUUGACCGCCUGGGGAGUACGGUCGCAAGAUUAAAACUUAAAUGAAUUGAC